ncrna:Brevibacterium aurantiacum Actino-pnp RNA
UUCGGUCCUCGGUAGUGGCUUCCGGAAGAGCACGCAUGCGCAUGCUGAUUCCGUGGGCCCCGAUCGAUGACCGGC